AGUGAACGCUGGCGGUAGGCCUAACACAUGCAAGUCGAACGGCAGCACAGUAAGAGCUUGCUCCUACGGGUGGCGAGUGGCGGACGGGUGAGGAAUACAUCGGAAUCUACUUUUUCGUGGGUGAUAACGUAGGGAAACUUACGCUAAUACCGCAUACGACCUACGGGUGAAAGCAGGGGAUCUUCGGACCUUGCGCGUUUGAAUGAGCCGAUGUCGGAUUAGCUAGUUGGCGGGGUAAAGGCCCACCAAGGCGACGAUCCGUAGCUGGUCUGAGAGGAUGAUCAGCCACACUGGAACUGAGACACGGUCCAGACUCCUACGGGAGGCAGCAGUGGGGAAUAUUGGGCAAUGGGCGCAAGCCUGAUCCAGCCAUACCGCGUGGGUGAAGAAGGCCUUCGGGUUGUAAAGCCCUUUUGUUGGGAAAGAAAAGCAGCAGGUUAAUACCCCGCUGUUCUGACGGUACCCAAAGAAUAAGCACCGGCUAACUUCGUG
rnacentral:rRNA from 1 species